AUCGCUUCUCGGUCUUUUGACUAAGAUCAAAUGUAGUAUCUGUUCUUAUCACUUUAAUAUUUGAUAUACCCUCUACAUGGAGAUACCAUAUUUAACAUAUUUUGAGCAGUGGGAGGUGAAAAAUGGGGCUUGCUCUGUUCACUCCUGCCCACUGCUCCUGCACCCGGCCUGUGUGUGUUCACUA